rnacentral:rRNA from 1 species
CGGACGGGUGAGUAAUGUCUGGGAAACUGCCUGAUGGAGGGGGAUAACUACUGGAAACGGUAGCUAAUACCGCAUAACGUCGCAAGACCAAAGAGGGGGACCUUAGGGCCUCUUGCCAUCGGAUGUGCCCAGAUGGGAUUAGCUAGUAGGUGGGGUAACGGCUCACCUAGGCGACGAUCCCUAGCUGGUCUGAGAGGAUGACCAGCCACGCUGGAACUGAGACACGGUCCAG